CCACGCCCCGCCCCCAUGGACGGCCACGCCCCGCCAGGAGGGAGGGCAGGACUCCUGGUUGCCAGGCAACCGCGUCAACAAGCCCGAGCGAGUCGGGGCUGCGUGCGGGGCUGGGACCCUAGAAAAGGGAGCGCACGGGGGCCAGAGGUCAGCUCCCGGCUCUCGGGUCCGCCCGGUGGGCAGAAAAGGAAUUCCCUGAAACUACUGGAUCGGAGGCUCCUGGCGACCGCAGGGCCGUGCCACGCUCCUCCAAUAAAUAAAUAAAUCUGGGAGAAGAGGAAAGGAACGGCGCGGAGGCUGCGGGCGCCGGGCGGGGGGCCGCGGGUGCCCAGGGGGACCC